UUUAUGGAGAGUUUGAUCCUGGCUCAGGAUGAACGCUGGCGGCGUGCCUAAUACAUGCAAGUCGAGCGAACGGACGAGAAGCUUGCUUCUCUGAUGUUAGCGGCGGACGGGUGAGUAACACGUGGAUAACCUACCUAUAAGACUGGGAUAACUUCGGGAAACCGGAGCUAAUACCGGAUAAUAUUUUGAACCGCAUGGUUCAAAAGUGAAAGACGGUCUUGCUGUCACUUAUAGAUGGAUCCGCGCUGCAUUAGCUAGUUGGUAAGGUAACGGCUUACCAAGGCAACGAUGCAUAGCCGACCUGAGAGGGUGAUCGGCCACACUGGAACUGAGACACGGUCCAGACUCCUACGGGAGGCAGCAGUAGGGAAUCUUCCGCAAUGGGCGAAAGCCUGACGGAGCAACGCCGCGUGAGUGAUGAAGGUCUUCGGAUCGUAAAACUCUGUUAUUAGGGAAGAACAUAUGUGUAAGUAACUGUGCACAUCUUGACGGUACCUAAUCAGAAAGCCACGGCUAACUACGUGCCAGCAGCCGCGGUAAUACGUAGGUGGCAAGCGUUAUCCGGAAUUAUUGGGCGUAAAGCGCGCGUAGGCGGUUUUUUAAGUCUGAUGUGAAAGCCCACGGCUCAACCGUGGAGGGUCAUUGGAAACUGGAAAACUUGAGUGCAGAAGAGGAAAGUGGAAUUCCAUGUGUAGCGGUGAAAUGCGCAGAGAUAUGGAGGAACACCAGUGGCGAAGGCGACUUUCUGGUCUGUAACUGACGCUGAUGUGCGAAAGCGUGGGGAUCAAACAGGAUUAGAUACCCUGGUAGUCCACGCCGUAAACGAUGAGUGCUAAGUGUUAGGGGGUUUCCGCCCCUUAGUGCUGCAGCUAACGCAUUAAGCACUCCGCCUGGGGAGUACGACCGCAAGGUUGAAACUCAAAGGAAUUGACGGGGACCCGCACAAGCGGUGGAGCAUGUGGUUUAAUUCGAAGCAACGCGAAGAACCUUACCAAAUCUUGACAUCCUUUGACAACUCUAGAGAUAGAGCCUUCCCCUUCGGGGGACAAAGUGACAGGUGGUGCAUGGUUGUCGUCAGCUCGUGUCGUGAGAUGUUGGGUUAAGUCCCGCAACGAGCG
rnacentral:rRNA from 1 species